rnacentral:rRNA from 1 species
AUUGAACGCUGGCGGCAUGCUUUACACAUGCAAGUCGAACGGCAGCGCGGGCUUCGGCCUGGCGGCGAGUGGCGAACGGGUGAGUAAUACAUCGGAACGUGCCCAGUAGUGGGGGAUAGCUCGGCGAAAGCCGGGUUAAUACCGCAUACGACCUGAGGGUGAAAGCGGGGGAUCUUCGGACCUCGCGCUAUUGGAGCGGCCGAUGGCAGAUUAGCUAGUUGGUGGGGUAAAGGCCUACCAAGGCGACGAUCUGUAGCUGGUCUGAGAGGACGACCAGCCACACUGGGACUGAGACACGGCCCAGACUCCUACGGGAGGCAGCAGUGGGGAAUUUUGGACAAUGGGCGAAGGCCUGAUCCAGCAAUGCCGCGUGUGUGAUGAAGGCCUUCGGGUUGUAAAGCACUUUUGGCGGGAACGAAAAGGACUGUGCCAAUACCACGGUUCGAUGACGGUACCCGCAGAAUAAGCACCGGCUAACUACGUG